GGGAUUGUAGUAUAGUGGUCAGUACUUCUCGUUUUGGUUUUCUCACAGCGAUCCGAGAGGACCCAGGUUCGAUUCCUGGCAAUCCCA
rnacentral:tRNA from 2 species